rnacentral:misc_RNA from 1 species
GAUGAAGAACGUAGCGAAAUGCGAUAAGUAAUGUGAAUUGCAGAAUUCAGUGAAUCAUCGAAUCUUUGAACGCACCUUGCACCCUUGGCAUUCUGAAGGGUAUGCUCGUUUGAGUGUCAUUGUACUCUCACACUCCCGAUCUUUGCAUUGGGAGCAGUGGACUUGGGUUUGCUGCUUCACCGUCGCUUACCUCAAAUAGGUUAGUGCAACUCUUGGUUGGACAUAGUACGGCGUGAUAAGUGUUCUUCGCCGGUGCCUCGCAAAGAGGGUGGCCGACCGGGAUGUUGUGCUCCAAACCGUCUUCGGACAAUCUCUGACGACUUGACCUCAAAUCGAGUAAGACUACCCGCUGAACUUAAGCAUAUCAAUAAGCGGAGGA